UGGUUAAGGUUAGGCCCUAACUCUGAUUGGUUAAAGGUUAGGCCCUAACUCUGAUUGGUUAAAGGUUAGGCCCUAACUCUGAUUGGUUAAAGGUUAGGCCCUAACUCUGAUUCGACGAGACGAGAGAGAGACAGCCAAUUACGGCCCGUCUCCGUGCAAACACAACCCCCCCCCUGUCAAAUGAGCCUGCUUCAUAGACAUGUCUUUCUAAAAAGCUCAGCUUCGUAAGCUCCGCCCCCUGCUAUUCAAAUGACUUCACUCCCAAAGGAUUUGACUGUGAGAUCAGACCCGGGCACCUGUCAGGCAGAGCGUCAACAACAAUCCUCACACAGACUCACUACUGCGUGGAUUUGGAAUCGUACACCAGGGCCAGUAGUCAUAAAGCCUAGGAGUGCUGACCUAGGAUCAGUUUAUGCUUUAGCCAACCUAGCCACUAACUGAAUACAUGUUGGCUGAUCCUAGAUCAGCACUCCUACUCUGAGAGGACUGGACAAUAUAGUUUUGACCUUUUAUUUAAUUUGGCAAGUCCGUUAAUAACAAAUUCUUAUUGACAAUGACAGACGACACUGGGCCAAACCCGGACGACACUGGGCCAAUUGUGUGCCCAGCGUCUAUGGGACUUCCAACCACGACCGGUUGUGAUUCAGCCUUGAUUCGAACCAGGCUCUGUAGUGAAACCUCUAGUACUGAGAUGCAGUGACUUAGACCAUUGUGCCACCCGGGAGCCCUGAGGGGGGACCUGAUGAGAGAGAUUAUAGGAGCCCCGAUGAGAGAGAUUAUAGGAGCCCCGAGGGGGGGGCCUGAUGAGAGAGAUUAUAGGAGCCCCGAGGGGGGACCUGAUGAGAGAGAUUAUAGGAGCCCCGAGGGGGGGUCCUGAAGAGAGAUUAUAGGAGCCCCGAGGGGGGGACCUGAUGAGAGAGAUUAUAGGAGCUCCGAUGAGAGAGAUUAUAGGAGCCCCGAGGGGGGGGCCUGAUGAGAGAGAUUAUAGGAGCCCCGAGGGGGGAUUAUAGUUCCCUCUUUCCUCAACUACUCCCGUUAGGAUUCUGGGUUGGAAGUCAUUUUCAAUGAGAGGAGUGGGUUCGUUUCCACCGCGUAUUUCUUGCCCUGAAUCCAUUACUUUCAAAUCGAUGAGGGAUAGGGAACAAGUGCACACUUCCAAGGGGGGGGCGGGUAGAAGUUUAGAGGAUUGGGUAUCCAUCCCUAGAGUCGUCCACAUAAAGGGAGUGGAUCGUCAAGUCUCUCUGCAAUCCGACCAGCCGAGCGUUAGUUACGACCCCCUCCUCUUCCAUGGUGCUUGUAACCAUGAUAACGGCACGGUUGGUGUUUUGGGGGUAUCCAGAACAUACAGAAUUAGUAGUAUGGGUGUUCACACACAGGGUAAGUGUAUGUAAAAUACACAACAGUAUUUUUGAUUGUCUGUAAAAAUGUUGCACG
ensembl:lncRNA